GACGAACGCUGGCGGCGUGCUUAACACAUGCAAGUCGAACGGAAAGACCCUGCUUUUGUGGGGUGCUCGAGUGGCGAACGGGUGAGUAACACGUGAGUAACCUGCCCUUGACUUUGGGAUAACUUCAGGAAACUGGGGCUAAUACCGGAUAGGAGCUCCUGCUGCAUGGUGGGGGUUGGAAAGUUUCGGCGGUUGGGGACGGACUCGCGGCUUAUCAGCUUGUUGGUGGGGUAGUGGCUUACCAAGGCUUUGACGGGUAGCCGGCCUGAGAGGGUGACCGGCCACAUUGGGACUGAGAUACGGCCCAGACUCCUACGGGAGGCAGCAGUGGGGAAUAUUGCACAAUGGGCGGAAGCCUGAUGCAGCAACGCCGCGUGCGGGAUGACGGCCUUCGGGUUGUAAACCGCUUUCGCCUGUGACGAAGCGUGAGUGACGGUAAUGGGUAAAGAAGCACCGGCUAACUACGUG
rnacentral:rRNA from 1 species